GACGAACGCUGGCGGCGCGCUUAACACAUGCAAGUCGAGCGAGAACCAGACCUUCGGGUCUGGGGAAAGCGGCGAACGGGUGAGUAACACGUGGGUAACCCACCCUUGGUACCGGGAUAGCCCGGGGAAACCCGGAUUAAUACCGGAUGGCCCAACAGCUCUUCGGGGCGGUUGGAAAAGGUAGCUUCGGCCUCCGACCAAGGACGGGCCCGCGGCGGAUUAGCUUGUUGGUGGGGUAACGGCCCACCAAGGCGACGAUCCGUAGCUGGUCUGAGAGGACGAUCAGCCACACUGGGACUGAGACACGGCCCAGAUUCCUACGGGAGGCAGCAGUGGGGAAUCUUGCGCAAUGGGCGAAAGCCUGACGCAGCGACGCCGCGUGGGGGAAGAAGGCUUUCGGGUUGUAAACCCCUUUCAGGAGGGACGAAGCCACUCGGGUGAAUAGCCCAGAGGGUGACGGUACCUCCAGAAGGAGCCCCGGCUAACUACGUGCCAGCCGCCGCAGUAA
rnacentral:rRNA from 1 species